UACGUAGGGUGCAAGCGUUGUCCGGAUUUAUUGGGCGUAAAGAGCUCGUAGGCGGUUUGUCGCGUCGACUGUGAAAGCCCGGGGCUCAACUCCGGGUCUGCAGUCGAUACGGGCAGACUAGAGUUCGGUAGGGGAGACUGGAAUUCCUGGUGUAGCGGUGAAAUGCGCAGAUAUCAGGAGGAACACCGAUGGCGAAGGCAGGUCUCUGGGCCACUACUGACGCUGAGAAGCGAAAGCAUGGGGAGCGAACAGG
rnacentral:rRNA from 1 species